rnacentral:rRNA from 1 species
CCCCGGUAAACGGCGGCCGUAACUAUAACGGUCCUAAGGUAGCGAAAUUCCUUGUCGGGUAAGUUCCGACCUGCACGAAUGGCGUAAUGAUGGCCAGGCUGUCUCCACCCGAGACUCAGUGAAAUUGAACUCGCUGUGAAGAUGCAGUGUACCCGCGGCAAGACGGAAAGACCCCGUGAACCUUUACUAUAGCUUGACACUGAACACUGGUCCUUGAUGUGUAGGAUAGGUGGGAGGCUUUGAAGUGUG